rnacentral:rRNA from 1 species
UACGUAGGGUCCGAGCGUUGUCCGGAAUUACUGGGCGUAAAGAGCUCGUAGGUGGUUUGUCGCGUUGUUCGUGAAAACUCACAGCUCAACUGUGGGCGUGCGGGCGAUACGGGCAGACUAGAGUACUGCAGGGGUGACUGGAAUUCCUGGUGUAGCGGUGGAAUGCGCAGAUAUCAGGAGGAACACCGGUGGCGAAGGCGGGUCUCUGGGCAGUAACUGACGCUGAGGAGCGAAAGCGUGGGGAGCGAACAGG